rnacentral:rRNA from 1 species
GAUCGAACGGCGUGGCGGCGUGCCUAAUACAUGCAAGUCGAGCGGAGCGGACGAGAAGCUUGCUUCUCUGAUGUUAGCGGCGGACGGGUGAGUAACACGUGGAUAACCUACCUAUAAGACUGGGAUAACUUCGGGAAACCGGAGCUAAUACCGGAUAAUAUUUUGAGCCGCAUGGUUCAAAAGUGAAAGACGGUCUUGCUGUCACUUAUAGAUGGAUCCGCGCUGCAUUAGCUAGUUGGUAAGGUAACGGCUUACCAAGGCAACGAUGCAUAGCCGACCUGAGAGGGUGAUCGGCCACACUGGAACUGAGACACGGUCCAG